rnacentral:rRNA from 1 species
AAAAAUACCCACUAGUAGCUCUUUACAUUGAUUGCCUCCAAGAAGGUCCUGGAAUCCAGUCUCAGCCUGACGCCACUGUAUCCAUCUGGAAGCAAUCCCGGCUUUAAAGCGCAGAUUACCUAAAAGAAAACCCAACCUAAUAAUGUAGAUCCGUAGGAGUGUCUCGAAAAGAGUUGCUCGCCAGCUGCGAAUGAUUUUCGUUUUACUCAUAAAUCGGAUAUUUUUGGUAAAAAUAAUCCCAUAGUGAGUCCAAGCGCAGCUGUAAGCUAAAAAAGGUAUGAUUUUGACGAGAAAAGGAUCCAUUAAAAAACAUAAAUGUUGAACGAACGCUUUGAUCAUUGCGUUGAAUGUAGAAUCAAACCAAGAAUCAAACAAUAACGGAGCGGCCUGUGAUUAAAUAGAAAAGCUACCGCGUACGAGAACUUGUAUAGAGAAGGAUUUCCCGCUUAGAUGCAGCGGUUCUUCCAUACCUUGGGAGGCAUCCGCCCCAGAUAAACUACCACCUUGCAGUGUCCCGCCCUGAAAUCACUGACGCGGUUAGGCAUCCUUAGACGAAAGAGUGGUAUUCCAGGAUUGAUAGUGACCCACCUCCCACCUAUCCCACACAUUCGUAAGAGGUUGUCACUGCAAAGCUCUAGUCAAGGUGCACGGGGUCUUACCGUCUAGCCGUUGGUACUCCGCAUCUUCACGGAGAAUUCAAUUUCACUGGGUCCAUGUUGGAGACAGCGGGGCAGUCGUUACACCAUUCGUGCAGGUCGCUACUUAUGCGACAAGGAAUUUCGCUACCUUAGGACAAUUAGAGUUACUGCCGCCGUUUACCGGGGCUUACAUUCAAAGCUUAUAACACUUCUCCUUCCAACCUUCCGGCACCGGGCAGGUGUCAGACUCUAUACAUCGUGUUACCACUUGGCAGAGUCCUGUGUUUUUAAUAAACAGUCGCUACCCCCUGAUAUGUGCCGCUUUCCCAAUCCAAAAAAAGAGGGAGAGCACCCCUUCUCCCGAAGUUACGGGGCCAGUUUGCCGAGUUCCUUCAACAUGGUUCUCUCAAGCGCCCUAGUAUACUCUACUUGUUCACCUGUGUCGGUUUGGGGUACGGUUAGUUCACUGGGAGGAUCGCUUCCCAAUUCGAAGUUUUUUCCUGGAAGUCUUAACCCUAACAGAAGUGCGCUUUCGCAUUCAUUCAAUUUGGUGAUCAAAAAUAGGGCAGGGCCUCUAAUUCACUGAAACAGACACGCAUGGUUCAGUAGUCGGAGCAACUUCGUCACUUUCGUGUACCCAUUGGACAAAGCCCUUUCGGGGGUUUCUUAGGGACCGAUUCACUCUGCGUAGAUUGACAGAACGUCCCGCUACUGACACUUAGUUGGCGCUUUAGAACCCGCUUAACGCUUCCAAGGUCUCGUCGCUUCGGUGAAUCACUGGAGCCUCGAUAGAUUUUCGAUGCCAUGGAACUAGACCAGUGAGCUAUUACGCUUUCUUCGAAGGAUGGCUGCUUCCAAGCCCACCUCCUGGUUGUCUGAGCUCGAUCACUUCCUUCUCCACUAAGCGAUUGCUUAGGGACCUUAGCGUACGAUCUGGGCUGUUUCCCUCUCGACUCUGGAUGAACGCACCCAAAGUCUGUACGAUUGAUUAAGCCUGUAUUCGGAGUUUCCUUGGGGUUGGUAAAGCUUUGGGCCACUCUAACCCAUUGAGUGUUCUACCUCAGGCUAUAUUAUACGCGCGCUCUACUGAAAUAGAUUUCGCGGAAAACCAGCUAUAUCCGAUCUUGGUUGGCCUUUCACCCCUAGCCACAAGUCAUCCCUGUAUUUUGCCACAUACGUGGGUUCGGUCCUCCAAGGCCUGUUAGAGCUCUCUUCAAUCUGCUCAUAGCUAGAUCGAUCGGUUUCGGGUCAAAUAGUCACAACUGGGAGAUUCCCUGGCUGGAAAGCGCCUACAUCUAAUGGCGCCGCUGUUCCCAUUUAUUCGCUGACCCAUUAUGCAAAAGGUACGCCGUUAGGGUGAGCCGCCCAGCUGUCGCUUCACUCCUUCGACUGAUCGGAUUUCUUCUCUAUUGCACUCCCUUUCCUAGGGUUCUUUUCACCUUUCCCUCACGGUACUUGUACGCUAUCGGUCAUUGAGGAACGAAGUGCUCGACCGAAGGGAGAGUCAUACUUGGGCUUAGAGGGUGGUCCCCCUUUCUCGCUCGCUACGAAGCGAUCCUGAUUCAAACACGCUGCGUUUGACUUACAUAAGAAAACCAUGAGGCUAUCACCUUCUUUGGCCAGAUCUUCCGGUUGGGUGGGAAUAGAUAAGAAGAGGGGAGCUACGGGAAAGCGUGAAAACCCAACCUUUUCAUUCACUAGAAUGCCUACCUAGUCACCUAAUUCAAAGGGCAAGGCACCGGCAUGCCUGGUUCUUCCAUCAUCCAAUUCACUUCAAUGAAUCGCGCGGAGAAGGCUUUCAUUGAAACGAAAACCUCCGCUGUAUUUGCCCAAUCCGCUUUCGCUCGCCGCUACUAACGGAGUCUCGGUUGAUUUCCCAUACUGGAGCUUCAGUUCGCGUCGUCUUUCAAGUCCAAGGAGCGCGGACUCGCCGCGUAGCCUGGAUACGGUUUCCCGAUCGGAUAUCCAUGGAUCACUAUAGGUCGUCUAUCCCCAUGGCCUUUCGCCUUUGGAAGCGUCCUUCCCUCUCAAUGCCUGGGCAUCCAUCCGAUGCAUUCUUUCCGAUAC